AACAGUGGCUGUCAAGAGAUGAGAUCUGGAUGGUAAGCUGAUGGAACGAGAAUGAGCACUAACUUUUGUGGUUGCAAUUGAGGCUGCCAUUUUUAUUUGCAGGAGGAAUUAGAUGCCAAUGAAAAUCCUGAACUCAAGGUUUGUUUGAUUGAACUCUCACCUUGGCACCUUUUUAUAAACUAUGAGGAGACAAAAGGAAUCAACUUAAUUUCCUUCAUGUGCCGAACAGAGAAACAGGCCAAGUAUCAGAAAAUGCAGAUCUCAAUUGUAGCAGUGUCUGUGGGAGGAGGAACAUUUGCUUGGCACAAAAUAAUAUAAUAUGCAAGAAACCAGGCUGGCGUUCAUCUGCAAAUUUUGGUAAGUUUUCUAAUAUGAAAACAAGUUAAGACCAGGGGUAUAAUUUUGC
rnacentral:lncRNA from 1 species